rnacentral:pre_miRNA from 15 species
GCAACUUAGGAGAAACAUCCUCACUGAAGUCGGGUUUCGUUAGCAGCGGGCUGUUUUAAUAAAUUCAACAAGUUCGUUGUCGACGAAACCUGCAUGCUGUGUGGAAAAUCAACGCUCAAGGCCG